UGGGGAAUAUUGCACAAUUGGCGCAAGCCUGAUGCAGCCAUGCCGCGUGUGUGAAGAAGGCCUUCGGGUUGUAAAGCACUUUCAGCGGGGAGGAAGGCGUUAAGGUUAAUAACCUUGGCGAUUGACGUUACCCGCAGAAGAAGCACCGGCUAACUCCGUGCCAGCAGCCGCGGUAAUACGGAGGGUGCAAGCGUUAAUCGGAAUUACUGGGCGUAAAGCGCACGCAGGCGGUCUGUCAAGUCGGAUGUGAAAUCCCCGGGCUCAACCUGGGAACUGCAUUCGAAACUGGCAGGAUAGAGGCUUGUAGAGGGGGGUAGAAUUCCAUGGGUAGCGGUGAAAUGCGUAGAGAUGUGGAGAAAUACCGGUGGCGAAGGCGGCCCCCUGGACAAAGACUGACGCUAAGGUGCGAAAGCGUGGGGAGCAAACAGG
rnacentral:rRNA from 1 species